ACGCUCGACACCUACGAGGCAGCAGUAGGGAAUCUUCCACAAUGGGCGCAAGCCUGAUGGAGCAACACCGCGUGAGUGAAGAAGGGUUUCGGCUCGUAAAGCUCUGUUGUUGGAGAAGAACGUGCGUGAGAGUAACUGUUCACGCAGUGACGGUAUCCAACCAGAAAGUCACGGCUAACUACGUGCCUGCAGCCGCGGUAAUCUGAGCGGGCUGGCAAGGC
rnacentral:rRNA from 1 species